rnacentral:lncRNA from 1 species
UCACACUUAGGUGGCAAUUGUCUACAAAACAAAGAAGCUUAAUUUUUUUCUCCAUGCUUAGCAACAAACCUCAAGAUGGUUUCUUAUGUCAUCACCACCAUGAUAUGAGUAUAUGUGCACAAUGUGUUUGGAAUAAGCAACACCUAAAGAGAACACCAUAAAGCAUUAGUAAUAUCAGCAUGUGAACACUUAUUCCUAAAAAUACUGCAAAGAAGUCUGGCUCUCGGCAUCAAUUAGCAAGUAUUUACAUACCAAAAAGGGUUCCGUCGGGACACCACAUUACACGGUUGACUGAUGCUCUAUAAUCAUUGGCCAGAGAUGCCUACAAAGAAUCAAAACCCACAAUCACAUGGCCAAAAAUAGAAUAGCUUGAUUUUAUUUAGAGUUGAACUUCUAUACCUGCAGCGUCCUUGAACAUGAUCCUAGAUCCCGAACCUUGAAAUUUCUUAGAAAAAUCCUUGCACGGCUGCCCACCUCCCAUACCAUAACAUCACCCAUAUUUGUUCCCACUAAAAUUGUUUAUGCAGAAAAGAUGAAGAAUCACACCCCAUGGUUUCAAUUAGCUAAAACUACUAUCAAAAGGACAACGAAAAGCAAUCUUCCAAUCAUUGGAAAACAAUGUUAUGCCCUAAAAGGGGAAACAAGUAUGUCAACUGAAGAAAAGUAGGAACAUGUUUUUUAUAGAGUAAAAAAAAUGUGCUAACCGAGCAGCAGAAUUUGUUGUUCCGGAUGGAAAUCCAUGCUCUUAAUAGGUGAACCUUGAUUUGGGGUGCUCAUGACUACAUUUUUGGGCAAGUCAUCUGAAGAAUAUGAACUCUGACCAUGGCUCUGGUUUUUGUAUGUGACAGGUAGAAUCUUUACCGGCAAAUUAUUCACCUAAUAGAAAGUCAUAAAGAUUACAAAACCAGUGAGUCUGAUAGGAAAUUUAUGAAAGCCAUGACCCUCCAAAGGUGCAAAAGUCAUAUGAGAGGCCCUGUUUUACUAGCAUGCAUGACCACAAUCCAUGCAUGCUGGAAGAAGAUGUAACUCACACCUACCUAGUUCCCGCUCUUUAUUAAUGUUGCCAAUAAACUGACAUGUACCAUUUACAUGCCAAUACCAAACAUGAAAUAUAGAGACAUGGCCCAAUAUGACAUCACAAUACGAUCAACCAGUGUAUUGACAAGAUGCUUACAUACCUUAGACUAAUUCAUUGGCUUGACAUGUUUGAUUAAUGUUUUUACGUUACCAUGAAUUAACACAAUCACAAAAACAAUUAAGACACGCGGACACAACUUGCCAAUCUUAGCCCUUUUACACCUUUUUCUCUCUCAACAAUUCUUGUAAUCCUCCCAAUCCUUAGUUGACUCCAAAUGGGUUUUUAAAAUUUAUAUAUUCAUUUUCCAGUGAAUGACAAUCAUUAGGUUAUCAUCAUAAAAGUUCAGGGUAUUUAGGAACCUCAAAACUAUAAAUUUCUCCUGAAGAUUCUCAAUGUAUGAUCUUAUGUUGUAAUAGUACCAAAGUGAAAGAGCUUCAGAAGGUUUUCAUUCAAUGGCAUGCGUUAAAUAUCAUUAAGAAAUAGAAAUGCGAAAGAAGGGGCGACAAACUUCAGCUCCACUUUAUAAGUCUGAUGAAUGUUGAGAAAAGCAUUCCGGACAUAUCAGAUUGUUAAUCGCCCAACAAAAAACUUUUUGGGCACACGGCCAGCAGGGAGAAAGAGGGGCGAAUGGGUUCUUAGAACGAUUUCGGUAAAAGGUUGGUUCUGGGGAGAGCAUCUUUGGACACUUAAAAAAGGCAGAUACUGGAGAGAGCAUGAACUAUGACCUGGGGAAAUACCCCGAGGCAGUGAAAUCUACCCUCUGCAGCAUCCCUCAAAACUUGAAUCAAGUGCGGCGGAGGAAAGCCGGCUUAGCAUUUAAUGCUCAAAGUUCCACCGGGGGAGAGACAUGGCAUGUACUACCUUUCGGGUUGAUCUGAACCGGUUGCGCCUAGUGGUCGUGCUAGGCCCAGCACCAUUUUUAACAGGAGGAGGAGUACCCCACUUUCCUUUAGAUCCCAAUGGCUCAAGCAUAUAGACACUGCCAUCAGUAAGCCCUAGUGCAAACUUGUUAGGUUCCCAUGGAUGUGCUGCAAUGACUAGCGGGUAUACUCUCAAGCUGCAAAAUACAUUAGUGAGGAAUGAAUGAGACUAUUGGAACUUUGCAGAGAUACAGACACCUGGAGUACCAAAAUUUGGCACGGAGGGACAUUUAGUGUCAAACGUUUGGAAAAUGAUACUUAAGUGUCAAAAUCGGAGCAAAAUAAAUCACUUAAGUGCCAAUCCAGCCAAAAUCUGGCUAAAAUACCGACGUGGCGAUUUUUCGGCGAAGCAAGUGUAAAACGGCGUUGUUUUGCACGCUGAUGUGGCUAGCCAAUACAAAAACGACAUUGUUUAAGUGCUGACGUGGUAAAAAAAUUAAUUAAAUUAAUAUAAAAAUUAAUUAAAUUAAAUUUAAAAUUAAAUUUAUUUAAAAAUUUUAAAAAUAAAAUAAAAAUAUUAAAAAACUAAAAUUUAAAUAAAAAAGUGGGGGGGGGAGGGGCAAGCGGCUGAGGGCUGAUCCCUCAUCGCCGCCACCUCCCUGCUGCCGUUGGAAGGGCCCCUUUUUUAAAAAAAUUAAAUUUUUAGCUUUCUAAAUAUUUUUAUUUUAUUUUUAAUUGUUUUAAAUAAAUUUAAUUUUAAAUUUAAUUUUAUUAAUUUUUAUAUUAAUUUUUUUUACCACGUUAGCAUGCAAAACGGCGUCGUUUCGCACUUCCUUCGCCGGAAAAUCGCCACGUUGGCAUUUUGGCCGGAUUUGAGCUAGAGUGAUACUUAAGUGAUCCAUUUUGCUCCGAUUUUGGUAUUUAAGUGUCACUUUCCAAACUUUUGGCACUUAAGUGUCCCAUCGUGCCAAGUUUUGGCACUUGGGCUGUACUUCUGCCGAACUUUGCAAAUGAGACUUGCAAUUUUCAUAAAAGAAUUAGGUCACACAGCAAUAACCAAUUUACCUGGGGUUUGCAGGGAUAUAAGCGGUAGGAUUUAUGCAACAUCUCAAUCUGAAUGUAGAAGUAGUAAGAACACCAAUGCUUCCGUCUUCAAAGCUCACAUAUAUUGAUUGGCCAUUGCAUGAAAAUGUAGCAUCUGUGAUUGGACUGCUAGCUUCUCUAGUAACCCACUAGUUUCGAUGAACAACGAAUUAAAAAAAAAAAAAAAACAUUUGGCAUGAAGCAACUCAUACUGCCUAAUAUUUUGCUAGUUUUUAUGCAAUCAGGAUGAAAGAAGAGAUUGGUUUGUGCAUAACAAAAAAAGUCUUCAAUACCUGGUGGAGGCAUUCAAGGUCAGGAGCUUCAUAUGUGGCGAUCUGUGUUUUAUGAACCACCAGCAGAUGUAUCUGAUCCACGUGAAAUUGAACACGAGUAUCAGCAGGAGGAGCUGCACCUCGCCCAGGCAGCAUCUGCAGAAACUUACUAGCCCGCUUCUCCAGUCCAUCAGUGCUCCAAACACACAACUGCAGUGAUCAUAGAUAUCCAUCAAGGUGAAAUCAACAAUGAUGCACAAAUGAAGAUAAAUUCUACAUUGUGUUUUUAUAUUAGAAUCACGCUGAUCUAUCUGUUGUAAGCAACAACAGGACAUCAUAGCUUCUUUUUUUCAUACUUAAUGGGAUGAGAUUAAUUUGCCAACAUGAAAGAUGAAGUUUUUUGGAAGGAUUUAUCCUGCCAUUAAAGGAUGCCUUCAUGACCAUGCUGAGGACAUAGGCAUCAAUAUAUCCAGAGUGAACAUCAACCCUUUUUUUGGAGCACGCUCUCUCUUCCCAAAACUUAUGCAUGUUUAGUUGGAAGGUAAGAUGUAGCAGAGGUCUAUAACCUGAGAGUCAGCACCAGAAGACACCAGAACAUUUAGGACACCAGAGAAGGCAAGGCCCGUAAUUCUUUCCUGAUGUCCUCCUGGUAUAGCCUUGAACCAAGAAAAUGAAACAGUCAAUAUCCCUUAACUUUGUCGUAGAAAACAAGGUUAACUUUCAACGACAAUGAAAAUAGGUUCUGGGAUUAUUGUAAAUUCGAAUAGAGGAGUCCUCCAUUCCAAUUGCAAUAAUGGUUUUGUCCUGAGGAUGGAACGCCGAAAAUGUUGUUGGUGAUGGUGUGUGUAGAAAUGCUGUCGUCGUAUGGAUAUCAGCAGGCAAGAUAGUAUUAACAACUUUACAAGUAAAAGUGGGCCAUAUGUGCCAAGAGGCACUUGCCUCAAUGGCAUCUCCCUUCUUCGGAAAGGGAGAGAGCAAUUCAACCAUCACAUCUCUGGAUGGAUGAAAAAAACUCUUAACCUUCUUUUCUUUAAUCAGUAAGAGCAAAAAGAUUCCACUGGAACAGAGAAAAGCCCUUGUCUCACUUAGGAAGCGAAGGAUAUAUACUGCACUUGUGACUCUACUGCGUAAUUCACAUAAAAAUCAGAGUAAUUGCUUUCGUGGACCUCCUAAAAAUAGAGUUUAAUUAUUUCCAUACAUGAUAGAAUUAAUCAAUUUUAGCUCCCAUAAGAAUGUGAAAAGGAAAUAGUGCAGGCAUAUUAAGUACAAAGGAGUAGUUCAUCAUCUCGUGCCUUGUGGACAGUGCUACUAGAAAAUGACAAGAAGAUAUGAACAUGCCUUUGCGAAAUGAUCCGCUGCAGAAGAGAUAUCGGACCAAAGGAUCGUCCCCCUUGAUGCUGACAAUAGAUCGUUCAUUGACAGUGCAGAGCAUGGAACUGCAUCUUCAGGAUUUGUAUCACUUGUGUCAUUGGUCAUCCAAUUCCAAGCAGGAGGUUGCCGCAACUCUAUUUUUACACUAAUCGUGGCCUGCAAAAAGAAGAAUCAAUUUAGUUAACGGCGCGCUAAACAGUAAAACAGUUUGCCAAUUUCAAGGAAAAAAAGAAGAUUCCUUACCCUGCCUUCUAAGUUUGCAUUUUCUUUUUGCCAUUCCCAGAGCUUGUGUACACCAUUCGAUAAUAAUGCCUGAAUGGCAUGACCUGAGUUUGAAUAGGUUAAUCUCGAGACCUGCUUCAUUUUAUCAGCUUCAGUGGUGACAGUUAAAUAUAAUACCAAAAGUUAAAAGAAAAGGCAAAAGAAAGAGCUCAAAGAACCGGCCAUUAAAUGAUAGAUACAUAAAUUCAUGUAAAGAGACACUUGGUGACGCCAUAUAUAUAUAUAUAUAUAGAGAGAGAGAGAGAGAGAGAGAGAGAGAGAGAGAGAACAGAGUAUAUGAUACACUUGACACCAAAACCCAGUUGAAACAGUUACCAAAAGAAAACUAGAACCGCUUAAACCGUCUAGCUGUAUAUCCCUAGAACCAAGAGAACUCUGUGCGGUUUUCGUGCAAAAAUACAGUGCCUUCAUCCAUGCUACUCUGUUCUGGGAAUGCCUAUCCUUUUACCUCUAGUAUUCGUGUGCUUAGAUUCAACAGGCAAUUUUCCCCUCAAAUUUUCCGGGAAUUGACAAGCUCAAAAUAGCUCAAUUCAUAAGCUCAGCAUUCCGGACAAGCAUCCAAGUGGUGCACAAUGAUAUACUUUGCCUGCCAUGUUUAAAGCCAAAUUCAUCUCGUGAAGAAUCUGUGCCUUCUACCACAUGUAACUGCAUGAGAUUCUACAUUCUAAAUCAAGCAUCGUUUGUCUCGCUAUUCAUCGUUAUCAUGAAAUUCAUGACCUCCAUGGCCAAUGAAACUCAAGCACAAUUGCCACACCAUAAUCACAGAUUUAUUAAUGUUGAUCUUAUCCUUUUUCCUAUUCGUAUAGUUGAAACAAUCAAUUAACAUUAAAAGGCCAAAUGAGGAGAUGACAAAGCCUUCCAGGCGUUGAGGCUUAAGAGAUAAUUAAUUGGACCACAAGUGAAUGAAACAAAUAAAGCAAGUGCUUAAAAUGCGACCCAUAUUCAAAUUUGUACUUAUCUAGUAGAAACAUGACAGUUUAAUGCGGAAAAGAAAUGCUACAUAAGAAAAUCCUAAUUUGGCGAUCAUUUGUACCUUCGUAGCCGUUAAGAUAUCAGGCAAUCUUAUAGACCGGCAUUGUAAUGGUUCAUUGAUUUCUGUUAGUUUCCAAAUUCGUGAUUUGCCUCGUGACUUAUCAGCAAUUCUGGGCUUCACAUCGGCCAUGCUCUCACUGUCCUGUAAAGCUCAAAAGAGAGUAUGUCAUUGAAAGACGUCCAAUAAACAUGCACUUACAAAUGCAAAUAUUACAUCAUUUAAGUAACGGAUUAAGCAACAAAUAAAGCUCCUUAAAAACAUUUAACUACCUAAUGCAGUAAAGAUACCACUUACCAGACCUGCCAUUGCUGCCACUGGAGCACCUUUAUUACCCAUGGUUGCCCCAGCAGUAGCAUUACCAGAACCAAAUAUUGUGAUUGCUGAUGGCUACAUAAGAUUCAAGACAUUUAGUAAGCUCAUCUCUAUGAAAGUUAAUCAAAACUAGAGAUUACAUUCAUGAUGGGAGAAGAUGUAAUCAAAAUGCAUCUUUUGAGUGCCAUGGCUUUGAUUAAUUUUCUACAGGACUCACUGAUUUUGAUUUAUUUUCUAUAGGACUCCCCUAAUAGAAAGUCAUAAAGAUCACAAAACCAGUGAGUCCUAUAGAAAAUCAAUCAAAGACACGGCACUCAAAGGAUGCAAAACCCAUAUGAGAGCCUCUCUUUUACUAGCAUACAUGAGCAUAAUGCAUGCAUGAUGGGAGAAGAUGAGACUCACACGUCACACCUAUUCAGUUCCUGCUCCUCAUGUUGCCAAUAUUACAUGAUAAUACCAAACACGAAAAAUAGAGACACAAACCAAUAUGACACAUCACAAUACGUCUAACCAGUUUACUGACAAGAUAUUUUCAAGUUUUUGUCUUAAUUAAUGGUUGGCAUGCUUAAUAGAAGUUAUCAUGAAUUGACACAAUCACGAACACAUUUAAGACAAGUAGACAUGAAUUGACAACCUUAGCUCUUUUGCUACUUUUCUCUCCAUCAGACUUUUUUUGUAAUCCUUCUAAUCCUCAAUUAGUUCACUUUCCAGCAUAAAAUUAAGGAUAUUAGAAACCUCAAAACUGAAAGUUUCUCCAAAAGAUUCUUAAUGCAUGAUCAUAUGCCGCAAUAGCACCGAAGUGAGAGCGUUUUCAAAAGGUUUUCUUUUAAUGGCAUCGCUUGAAAGAUAAUUAAGAAAUAGAAUGCAAAAGAAGGCGCAACAUAUUCCAGUCCACUUUACAAUUUAAGAAAUCUGAAAAUCCCGACUUUCAUGAACAGAGGACUUAAAGUAGCGAGAAGUACAUGCGAAUGUUGAGAAAAGCAUUCCAUACAUAACAGAUAAUUGAUACUAUUCUUUGUAGAUGGAACCAUCCGGUAAAAACUGAAGAAUGAUAAAGAAAAACAAGAUGAAAUAAGUACUUCAUCUGAGAUUCCGAAAGGUCUCGAUCUCUUCAAAACAAGUUCAGAAUUUGUUGUUUGGUGGUACAUGGUUGAGUUGUUGGCAGUAGUUGUCUUGCGACGCUUUAAGGGACGCUUUAGGAGAUCUGUGUCGCAAGACAAAAAGUAAAUAGAAUGUCACACAAAUAGCUUGAACUUGUGGAAACUAAAAAAUCAAGUUUCACAGCUUUUCCACUAUGUGUUAAAGAAAGGUUUGGGAGACAUUCGAGCCAACCAGAAAGAGUGAGUUUCUUAAGAAAGGUUAGUUGCCAAAGAUUCGGCAAUUGCGGGAUCUGGUAGGUGACAUCUAAAUGAAGAUUGUCUCACAAAACUAGUUCACCUGUAUUACUUUGUAAUCCUUGUGGAUUUUUCCCCCCCGAAGCUCUCAAGUCUUGGAGUUCUGCCAAUAUUCCCCUAUCAUCAAGCAAUUUUGUUAUGUUAAUUCUCCUAUUGUUCAACAUCCGCAAGUUUUGCAUAUUUCUAAUGCCUUCACGUAAUUCCAUAAUCACUGUAGAACUAAAAUACAGCUUCGUUGAUGACAACUUCCCAAUCGAGUUUGGGAUUUCUCUCAAUGAGUGGCAUCUCAAUAAUAACAAGCGCCGCAAAGACAUGAGAGAGCCCAUGGAGUCUGGAAGUUGAGCAAGUUUGUCACAUUCUGUUAGGUCAAGAAGAGAGAGAGAUGCUAGAUCGCCUAUGGAGCUAGGUAUGUGGGCUAAUGAUGCACAACAUGAGACAUCAAGUGUCUUGAGCUUUCUCAGAGAACCAAUUGAUUUGGGUAAUUCUUCAAUCGCUGUAGAUUUUAAGUGCAGUUCAGUCAAUGAUUCUAAUUGUCCAAUUGAGUCUGGGAUUGCUCCCAAUGAGCUGCAUCUUGAUAAUAGCAAGCAUUGCAACAACAUAAGAGAGCCUAUGGAGCCUGGAAGUUGAGCAAGCUUGUUACAUCCUGUUAGGCCAAGAAGCGAUAGAGAUGCUAGAUCGCCUAUGGAGCUGGGUAUGUAGGCUAAUGAUGCACAAUAGGAGACAUCAAGUGUCCUGAGCUUCUUUAGAGAACCAAUUGAUUUGGGUAAUUCUUCAAUCGCUGUAUAUUUUAAGUGCAGUUUAGUCAAUGAUUCUAAUUGUCCAAUUGAAUCUGGGAUUGCUCCCAAUGAGUUGCAUCUUGAUAAUAGCAGGCAUUGCAACGACACGAGAGAGCCUAUGGAGCUUGGAAGUUGAGCAAGCUUGUCGCAUCCUGUUAGGUUAAGAAGUGAUAGAGAUGCUAGAUCGCCUAUGGAGCUGGGUAUGUGGGUUACUGAUGCACAAUGGGAGACACCAAGUCUCCUGAGCUUCUUCAGAGAACCAAUUGAUUUGGGUAAUUCUUCAAUCGCUGUAUAUUCUAAGUACAGUUCAGUUAAUGAUUCUAAUUGUCCAAUUGAGUUUGGGAUUGCUCCCAAUGAGCUGCACACUGAUAAUAGCAAGCAUUGCAACGACACGAGAGAGCCUAUGGAGCUUGGAAGUUGAGCAAGCUUAUAGCAUGCUGUUAGGUUAAGAAGUGACAGAGAUGCUAGAUCACCUAUGGAGCUGGGUAUGUGGGCUAAUGAUUUACAAUCGGAGGCAUCAAGUAUCCUAAGCUUCUUCAGAGAGCCAAUUGAUUUGGGUAAUUCUUUAAUCUCUAUAGAUUUUAAGUGCAGUUCAAUCAAUGAUUCUAAUUGUCCAAUUGAGUGUGGGAUUGCUCCCAAUGAUUUGCAUUCUGAUAAUAGCAAGCACUGCAAUGACAUGAGAGAGCCUAUGGAGCCUGGAAGUUGAGCAAGCUUGUAGCAUCCUGUUAGGUUAAGAAGUGACAGAGAUGCUAGAUCGCCUAUGGAGUUGGGUAUGUGGGCUAAUAAUUUACAAUAGGAGGCAUCAAGUAUCCUGAGCUUCUUCAGAGAACCAAUUGAUUCAGGUAAUUCUUCAAUUCUUGUGUAAAGUAGGUCUAGCUCAGUUAAUGACACAAGGGAGGCUAAGGAUUUUGGAAGUUGAGUAAGUAGUUGACAAUUUGAGGCAUCUAGAGUCUCCAACUUCGUCAAACAACCUCUUGAAAUAGGAAUCUCUUGUAUCUUAGUGUUCUUUAUUCGAAGCUCCCUCAAUUUUUCCAUUCUGCCUACUCCUCGAGGUAAUUCCUCCAAUUUCUCACAACUUCCGACAUUCAAGGAGACGAGAGUCUUGACACCCUCGACAGAAGGAUGAAUUUCUUCUAGAUGUACACAACAUUCAAGAUUCAAAAUCUCCAAGCUCUUGAAAGCAGACAAGUCCGGGAUUGUUCUCAAAGCACAACACUCAAGAUUGAGAACUUUGAGUUCGGUUGCCAUCUGAAAGAAAGAGAAGAUACCACCAUCAGAUUGGACAAAAUUACCAAUGCUCCAUUGCUCCUUCACAGUUGUUUUAUUUAAUUUUAAUGGUCCUUUUCAGUAGUAUUAUGGCUAACCAACGUAUAAAUGUUUUAAAGCAUAUCAUUGCAAAGAGAAUGUUAGAGAUGUAUAAGUGCUAACCAGAAUUAUUUGCGAAUAACAUUUGAUAGAAAAUAUCAUAUUUAGUUUUUCGAAGUUAUGGUGAUGCUGUUAUUUAUUGAUUAGAGAUAUCCAAAGUUUAUUAUAAAAAAUAAAUGGCUACUUUAUUUAUGGAAAAAUAGUAUGUACAAGAUAUAAAAAAAGGUUAUAAAUAUUUAAAUGCAAUGGGAAGGAUAAUUUAAUUUCUCAUAUAAAAUUACUACAUUAUAAUUGUGUUGUACGGUGACUUCCACAAUAAAAAUUAUAAUAAAUAAAUAUUGUGUGCAACAAGUCCGAGUAGUUCAUAAAUUAUUCCCAUUACUCUAAAAGUAACAAUGAAUUUAAAAUUUUAGUAUGUAUGUAAAAAAAAGUCACUGCAAGGAAGUUUUUUUUUUUUUUUUCCUUCAUGAAAGAAGAUCCAUAAAUAUAUAUAACAAGAAUUGCUAAAAAGACAUUUUUGCAUGGGGAGAAAUUAACUAGAAGCCAUAACAAUUUAGAUUAAAGUUAAGUUGGCCCAGGAUUGAUAGCUAUUAAUUAAUAUAGUUAAAAAUAAUUAGUAUGUCUGAUGGUAAGCAUGACUAGUUGUUAAGAUAUUAAGGGGCAGAAGCUUCUAGCAUAUUUAAGUGCCUAAAAUUCCACUUAUGCUUAGAGGAAAAUCCAUAAUACGAGGAUAGAUUUUCAGAAGAAAUAAAGGCGAACUUGGUGCAAUUAGACUCAUUGACAACAUGUCAUUAUUUGUAGGAGAUAUGCCUUAUCCGCGUCUUACCUUUAGUGGAUCCCAUCCUCCCCAAUCCUCCCUAAUCUUACCACCCGAUAGAUCAAGAACGAUUAACUUCUUCGGGCGAAAGAUGGCUGCUUCAAGAUCCAAGCAACAGCUUGUCCAUUCAAGCCAUCUUAAUUUAGGAAGCAAGUUCUGAAAAUCUCCAGUGAGAUUCGCACCAUUCGUUUGAAGGAACCUCAAGUUAGUCAAGUUUUUAAAUCUUUCAGCUGUGUAGGUUUCUCCCAUAGGAAGACAAAGGGCCUCAAUCUCACUAGUGCCCUGCAAUUAGGAAACGUUAUAAAUCGUAAUGUUGAAUGAUGGGAUGAGAUCAACUGUAUAUAAGAAAAGAUGUUUUGACUUCAAAUUUGUUGUCAUACUAUUCUUAUGUAGUUCUCACCUUUGACUUCAUGACAUGACAAGUUAUGGUUGCAUAUUAUUUAUCUAAUCUAUGUAAAAGUUUGAAGCUCGAGAGGUGUUCUCCCGAAUUUUCCUCUUCCAAUUAUGCUGUUCACAAUUUGCACCUUUUAAAUACCCAAAAGGCACAUCCUUUGAAAAUUACAAUAGAAGGCAUCUCUUCAUGCAGACACUACUUCAAAUAUAUCUAUCAAAUCUCAUGCCCUUUUAUCUAGGAAACAACAAAAUCCUAACUCAUAUAUUUUAUAUGUGAAACAACACGGCUGUUGCAGUUCGAACACAUCUAUUAAACUUGCCAUCAUAACAUGUAUUAAUACUAAAGAAUUCCAAUUGUAGAAUCCCCCUCUUUUUCUUAUGUAUCAUCUUUGCAAUUCUCUAUGGCAAAAUGAAAAAGAGAAUUCCAUCCCAAGAAGUACGAACGUGUUUUACAUUCCUUUCUUAUGAUGUGUUUUGUUUCUUCAAUGAGUGUUUUUCAUUAUAUGUGGAAGAAAACAUAUACCAAAUGUUAUAUAAAUGGUUUUUUACAUCUCUUUUUAUUACUACAAAUGUUUGAUGCUAUCUUUUCAUUUUGUAUUGAUUUUGUUACACCAAAAUAGCAGUGAUCUAAUUUUUUGAUCAAUUUUCCCAUGGAUUAAUAAUAUCUUGCUAACAGACAUAUUGGACAUGAAGAUUAAUUACAUUAUGUUAAUAUUAAUUCUGUGCGAGCAUGUGGCUGUGAAGUUGUUUAGUUUUAUUACUUAUUAUCAUUCUUUUAAAAAUUUCUGCAAAGGUUGUAAGUGUAAAGCUAUUUUAUCACUCAGAUAUAAACUUCGAGGCUCUGUAUAAAAAACAGGUCAUGUAUGUAUAGUUAAAAUAUUUAACUUCCAAGUUUAAUAAGUAUCAUGUUAAAAAUUUGGGUUAAUAUUACGAAAACCUCAAACUGGUACAUUUGUGACAAGUUUACUCCAAGCUAAUUUUUGGGUCAUCAAAAACUCCAAACUGAUACAUCUAUAAUAAAUUUACCCAUAAAUUAAUAUUUGUGUUACCAAAAAUCCCCAACUAAUACGCUCAUAACAUAUUUACCAUCUAUUAACUUCUAUCAAAUUUUACCGUAAAAUUACUGAGCUGAAUGGCACAUGGCAAUAACUCAAUUGACAUUGAAAAUUUAUAUUAGUUUUGGUUAAAUUUACAACAAGCAUAUCGGUUUGGGGGUUUUUGAUAACAUAAAAAUUAGUUUAGGGUAAAUUUGUAACGAAUGCACCAAUUUGGGGUUCUUUUAUAGCCUAAAAAUUAGUUUGGGAAAAAUUUGCCAUAUAUGUACUAGUUUAAGGUUUUUCGUGAUAUUAAUCCUAAAAAUUUUAGUUUUGAUAGUACUUCAACAUUAAAUUUUUAUAAUUAUGGGAUUGAAGAUGUAUUUUUUUUUUAAUAUAUAUUUUGUUGAAAAUGCAUGGUUCUCAAAUUGUAUUAUAAAAGUAUUGUUAAUAGCAUAUUAUUGCAAGUAUAUAUUCCUAUAGAACUAUAAUGUAACGUUGUAAACAAAUCUAUAAUCUCACCUCUAAAAAUUCUUGUAUACACUUUUCACAGAAUUCGAGACUUGGGAAUUAAUUUUUUAAUAUAUCUAUGUAUACAUAGAUAUCGUAAUAACUAUUCUUCCAUAACAUUGUCGGGAUCAUGAAUAUUUGUUGAAAAGUGUUCAUUACUCAUCUAAACGAAGUCAUUUAGGUUUGUGGCCUCUGCUCUUGACCAUACACUAUUUUUUUAAUGAUAAAAAUAGGAUCGCCAAAAUAAUAUAUUGCUAAUAUUAUUUACUUAAUUUAAAUAGUACGGUUAUAUUAAACGACGUAGACAAGUAGAGCUUCCCUCUCAUUAACGAACAAGUCUAUUCAAAGUAUUACAUUUAAGAAUGCAUCACUUUUCAAAUUUUUUAAUGAUUUGCUAGGCUCCUUUGAUUUUUCAUACCUUUUUUUUAAAUUAUUAUUCUACAAACAUUUCUCUUAUUCUCGAAUUCAAAACAGAAGUACCCAUCGAUUAGUGUCAUUGACUUUAUUAUUGCACGAAAAGACAUUUCUCUUCGAAAAAUGACAUUUAACAAAUAGUAAAUUAUUUAUAUUUGGGAGAAGUAUAAAAAAAGCUCUAAACCUAUUGCAUUAGUAUCAAUUUAAUUCUAAAAUUUUUAAUGAAAAAAAUUUAAUCCUAAAGCUUUUUACAUUAGUACCAAUUUAAUCCAUCAAGUAAUUUAGACCGGAAAACCCUUUUAACUGAAAAUCCUUUACAUUUUUCCAAAGGCUUUUCUCAAAAAUCUAACCAAAUACACCCAUAAUUUGUAACUCGUGUCAUUUUUGUCCUACAAGUGAAAGGUUGAGAUUUUCUCUGGGAUGCUUGAAAAAAUGUGUUAUUUUCAUCCUGCAUGCAAAAGAUUGGGCUUCUUUUUAGGAUUUUUUUAAGGUUGCAUUAUUUUUGUUCCUAAUUCAAAAGUUUGUGCCCUUUUUUUUUUUUUUUUGGUUGUAUACUUACUAAUAUCCAAGGAGUGUGUUAUCAAUGUGUUUCAAUAAUGUUUUAAAUGUCUUUCGUUUUUUGUUUAUUUAUAAGUCGUCCUAGUGCUCUUGUCCAUGCGUCGCACUUCUUUUUUUCUUUUUUUCUUUUUUAUCAAAGUUGAUUGUACUUUUAGAUAACACAUGAAGAUACUUUUAUAUAUUUUGAUUAAUUGUAGGAGUAAAAAAAAGAAGAUCUUGUAUCAGUUUCUUCAAAGCCUCUUUGAUUUCGACUCAACGAACCCAACAAAAUUACUGAAAUAAUUACGUCAAAUAAUGUACCUUUUUAGUUGUAAAAGUUAGUUAUAACAAUUUAUUUUGAUAAAAAAAAAUAGAGCAUAUUCAUUUUUCUUUUGGCUAGUUAAGUUUAUUUUAUGAUGUAACACAAAAGACAUAAUAGAUAGUCAUUAGCUUUGAAAUUGCUAAUAUAUCAAUUGGCUCUUAACAUAAUACAUAGGUUGCAUGAAAUACGCCUAACGUUAUGCAUGUCUAUAUAUGUUCUUGUUCUAUCAUGCGAAUUUUGGUAAAAGAAGUAAUUCCUAACCUAAUAUAACAUAAAAUAAAUUACCCUUCCAUUCUCAAUUUGGGAAUAAUGAUUGAGAUUGCAUGAAAAAUGCGGGCACGGUUACUCCAAUUGUUUUAAUUCUAACACCUGGAGAAUAGAAUUCUAUGAUUUACACAUCCUAAGUAGUAAUUGUUCACAGCAGAAAGGUCCAAUUAUUUGUUGCACGUGUCAAGGCCACAACCAAAUCAAUUAUAUAAAUCCAAAUCUUUUCAAUGUAGAAUACCCCUAUUAAGUUUCUAAUAAAUUUGAAAGUACCUCGUUCUUGGAAAAAACUUUGUAAUGUGCGCUUAUCUAAGAUAAAUAUCAGAUAAAGCUGCACUACUCACUAAGAGAGAGCAACCUCCUAAUUGCUAUCAUGUCAAUGAAACGACACGAGGACAAUAAUAGUUUCACUGCUCACUAGAGCAAGCACUAAGUAGAGGACCAACAUUACUUUGACAGUAGAACAUGAACUAAGGGAGCAAAAGAAAAAGAAUCAGUUACCUUAUUUUCCUCUAGCAUGUUCAAUACUUCCUCGGAGUCCCAUAACCUGCUGCGAUUCUGAGGCUCCUUGUCUUCUUGGCGAAUGAUUUCUCGACCUAGAUCUCGCAAUUGGUCAUGCAUUCUAAGCUCAUGAUUCUCUCCAACUUUUAUUAAUGACAUUAAUCUCAAUACUACAAUGGCCUCAUUUGGGUAAAAGCCACAGGCGUCCCACAUGUAGGAUGCAACUCUCAAGUCAGAGCCAAUGAAAAAACAAGCGAUAUCCAAAAAUAUAUGUUGUUGUCCAUCCUCUAAUGCGUCGUAACUUAUUCUUAGCUGUUCUUGGACAGCCUUAGGAGGGACUUUUUCUAACUUUUUUAUUGUAUCCUCCCAUACCGCUAGCUCUUUAUUGCACAAAAAUGAACCUACAACCUCGAGAGAUAAGGGAAGUCCUCCAGUGGCGAGCACAGCCUUACGAGUAAGGUCCUCAAAUUCCCUUGGAGGAGCGUUUCUUCGAAAUGCAUGUUUACUGAACAAAAUCAAAGCGUUAUGCCCAUCCAUUUCCUCAUGUUCAUAUUGGGAAUCCACCUUAGCCUUGUCAAGAAUACCCUUGUUUCGGGUGGUAAUAAUGAUCAUACUUCCCGAAGAAAACCAAUUAUGAUUUCCAGCCAAAGCCUCCAAUUGAUGGUCAUCACCCACAUCGUCGAGAAAAAUGAGGACUUUCUUACCUUUAAGCUUGGAUGAGAGGAAAUUAAUCCCGUCAUCCUUAUUAUCAGCUAGAUUUUUCUGCCUUAAUGUAUCAUUGAGUAACUGGUUCUGUAAGUAAAGAAUGCCAUUCUUUUUACAUGAUUCCCUUACAUUAGCAAUGAAGCUACAGUACUCAAAUUGAUUGGAGAGUUCGUUGUAAAUGGUUUUAGCAAGGGUAGUCUUACCAAUGCCUCCCAUUCCAUGGAUGCCAACAAAUAGGGGAGCACCGGAAUUUUUAUCUACAGAUUCCAUAACUUUCUUCACAUGAUUAUCAAUUCCAACCAAAUUCUCAGGAAUAACUAACUCAAACUUUUUCUUCAGCUCAAACAACACUCGUCGGACCACCAAUUUAAUCAGUCCUACUUCUGACCUGUCAAAUGUGACAAUUUUUCAAAUACAUGGAAAUAGCAAUUUUAUAUUGUUUAACUAAUGAUAACACGACAAUAAACAAAUCAAAGGAUAAAUUGGAAAACUUAAAGAACUGUUUUUGCCACAACUCCAUAUAUUAUCUUAUACCCUAAGAUUGAAAGGGGAAAUGGCGGCGGUUGCAUCACAUGGCGUGCCCCGUUCCAUUAUUACUCUUGACUUUAUUGUGCCAGAAGAAACUUGAGGUCGUCGCUAGUGAAUAUUGAAUAUUAUAUGAAUUAUCGAUUUGAAUUAAAUUUUAAAUUCGUUGUUUGUUAAAGAUAUUAGGGAUGAUGAGGACGUGACAACGAAGACUUUCUAUAGCGUUUGAAUAGGCAAAAUCCAAUAAGCAAUCAUCAUAUCUACCAAUGACAUUUCUUUUCUAAGAAUAAUUUAUAGCAACCAAUUAACGACAUUAACAAUGUAACGAAUGUAACUUGGGAAGAUAAAGACUUAAGGCUUUGACAAUCGACAUGCACGGUACAUGAUGUUACGAGCUUUGAACAGGAACGACCGAUAAGUUUUACUAUUAACCUCAAAUAAAUAUGUACUUAGAAAUGUUUGUGAUGAAGAUUAAUGUAGCGUAUACUAUAAACUAGAAAAAAAAAAAAAAAGCACAAUGUUACAAAAUUUUUUAAUAUAAGAGUAAAAAUUCAUUCAUAAAAUCUUAUUAUUCAAGCGCAUGGGAUCCUAAUAAUAAAAUCUCCAAUUAGAUUGGUCAAUGUCAUUAGAAUAACUUAUAGAACUCAUGCAUCGCAGUAUGUUACUGCCAGCAAGAUCUUAUUGAUUUUUUAUAUAAAAAAAAAAGAACGAAAACGACGCAGGUGAGAAUCAGAACAGCCGUAAACACCCACACAAAUAAAAAGAAAGUAGAGAAUGUUUUGGUGAAAAAAUGAAGUACCCAUUUGCUUCCCAUCCUUUCAAGUCACCAACUUCUCUGAGUGCCUGGUUCCAUUUCUCCAAAAUUGUUGGGUGUAACCCCCUCUGACGCGAACGUUCUUUAUGCCCUUCAAAUGCCUUUCCAAAACUCCCAGAUUGAUAUCGCACGUUGGCUGGUGUCACUUUGUAGAAUAUAGGCAACACUAUAGUCCCCGAGUUAUUAUUCUUACACUUCAUUAUUUGAACCAAUUCAUUCAGGCACCAACUGCUGUCACCAUAAUUCUCGGAGAGAAUGGGGAUAUGGAUCUUACUGUUCUUGAUGGCCUCCAAAAGAUCAGGGCCGAUUUUGUCGCCUUCGUGGAUCUCCUCAUUGUCUAUAAAAGUAUGAAUUCCAGCAAUGCGGAGCUUAUCAUGGAGGUGAUCAGUGAAGUUAUUUCGAGUAUCUUUGCCUCUAAAGUUCAAGAAAACCUCAUAGCUAGCUGGCGUGGUUGAUGAACUAGAAGCAUUGUUAGUUUCUGUCAGAGACGAAUUAGAUCCGCUGGAAUUAAUUUCUGUUGGUGCGAUCAACGAACCAGAUCCACCAGUAUCAGCAUCUUGUGCAUUUCUACACACAGUGAGUUUGCGUUUCUUAAUGGGAAGAUGCAUUUCGUCUUUGCUCUGACUCUACCCUUGAUUUUGCUUUCAACUCUUGACGGAGAAGAAAAACCAGAAUGCCUCUCAGGAAACACGAAAUGCCUCGUUGUUACCCAUGGCCUGUUUAUUGGUUUGAAUUAUAUGAUGGAACCAAUCAGCAACUCACAACCAAUAUUUAAAAAUAAUAAUUUUUGUCCACGUCAGCGUUGGCAGUACCACGUGGGAUAGUCGGCGUCCACGUCAGUAAAUUCUAAUCAAAAUUGGCUGGAUGGACUUAAUUGGCUAAAUGUUGAACGGUUUAGGACUCAAUUAGUAAAGUUGAAAAAUUUAGGACUGAAUUGGCAAAAGUACAAUAUGUUUAGGACUUUUUGGACAAUUUUCCCCAUAAACACAGGUCAAAAUAGAUUCACCAACUUCGUGCUCCUACGUUUCAAUACGUAUAUAUUGUCGUUGAUGAAAUUCUUUAACACGUCUAAAAAUUCAUCUAACUUCUACGUGUCAAUUACCAAUCAUCCUUAGUAUUACAUAAUAGCAGACCCAAAUUUUAUUGCAGUCUGGAGGGAGAGACAUAGUUUUAAUUAAAUCGGUGUAGAGUGCCCCAUAUAGUUGUGCCGACCACCGACUGGAACGUGUCUACUUGUUCUAAUCUAAGUCAAUUUUAUGAUAGUACAUUUGCACAUCAGGCCAUCGCUAAUAAAAUUUUUGAUAAAAAAGUACGUGGAAUCAUAUUCAUGGAGAAAUAAGAUCUUCUCCACUGAGCAAUUUUAUAAAAUGCGUUUGGCUUGCCUGAAAAUUAUUAUAAGUACUAUUUUAUUAACGAUCACUUAUGCCACAAUAUUAUGUCACUAAUGCGUGUCAAGGAUCAUGUGUAUAUAUUCCCUCUCUUUUUUCUUUUUUUUUUCCAUUUUGUACCCGAGCACAAUUGCUCUAGUUCUUCCCUUUAUCCUUCACAUCCCAGAAGGAAAUCGAAAUGUCUCCUCUCUUUCGCUCCUAAUUUAUUCUUAAAAACAUCAAAAGGCAACGAAAGUAUUAUAUAGUGACAUUUUGUUAUCCCCAUAAGCGCCGCCAAAAAGUCUUCUUGCAAGUCUUGGUGUAAAUCAGAAAGCAGUAGUUUUAUUAGUCUUAGUUUGUGGGAAAAUUUUUGCAUCUAAAGUUUUUGGAUCUGAAUUGAUAGACUGUACUCACUUAUCCUAUAUACGAAAUGGACAUCCUAAAUUAAUUUAAUAAAGUUGAAAGUUCAAGACACUCUCCAAGAUAAUUAAGAUUCCAUGACAUUUUUUUACAAAAAUAAAAUAAAAUGAAAUAGAGUUAAAAGUUCAUGACAUUUUUAAUAACAAGUCAAAAGUUCAAAAUUCUCUCGAUUAUUAGGCUAAAUAGAUUUGGAAGGUUUACUUUUCCAAAAAUGACUUUUUAAAAGAACAUGAGAAUUGUCUUGAUUUUCAAUAUACGUUAUUAAAUUUAUUUAGUGGCUAAAUAUUAAAUUAUGAUUUGAUCAUAUCGCUUAAUAUAUAAAUUUUAGUGUAAUUAUUAUCAUUAUUUGUAAAUAAUCGUGACUUUUUUGUCAAACUACAAAUAAUGGAGAGCACAUGCUGUGAAAGUUUACAUCUUUUUUUUUUUUUAACAUAAUUGAAAAAAUUCCAAAUAUUACUAGCAGUUAUAAUAAAAUGCGUCAUUAAUUAGAAUCGGUGAAAGCAUGUCAUCAUUUGUAAAUGGUGGCCAGAAGAAUCAUUUAUCAAGCAAACUAUCCAAUUAUAUACCCUCAUUCACGGCCAAAGUGGCCCGGGGAAUCCAAGGAAAACUUUGUGAAGAAGCAAAGUGAUAAUGAAAAGGAAACGAAAGCGAAAAGGCAAAGAAAAAGAAGGUGGGUGAGUCAUCGUAAUGUGGAAAAGAAGACCCAUCGAUGCUUUUUGUGCUGUCGGCAAGAUUUUAGUCAAAAGACUCCCUCAACAUAAAAAAUGAUGACAAUGCUUUGCGGUGGCAAGAAAUUUUUCACUAUUGCUCCUUUGACCCCUUUUUUCCCGUGCUACAAGGAUUUUCUUUUCAUGGUUAAAUUUAUGAAAAUUCGUCACGUAAUCCUAUCACUCUUGUUUCGAAUACAAUUCAUCACUCCUUAAAAAAAAAAAAAAAAAAUGAACCUAAGCUCGAGCCCAAACAUUAACACGGCCCCUUAUUGCUAGCGGGCCCAGCCUAGCACGACCCCUAACUAUGAGGGGUCGUUCCGAGCUCGAGCCCAAGAGAGCCAGUCCGUGUGGGCUGACACGACUCAGUUACCAUGCUUAGGUAGGGGUUUGAUAAUAUACAUGUUAAGAAAAGCAAAAUGCUAGAGUUCAAAGUCUUUUGCAAAUUUGGCCUUUCGAAGCCAAAGAAGUCGAAAGGUAAUGCAUGGAUCUGACGAGUCAAAUUCAGAUCUUGAGGUAGAAAGGGAAUUUCAAUGUGCAAUUGCCGGUGUCGUAUAGAAACUGAUGUUUCGGUGUUGGUAAUGAACCAAAAAACCAUGAGAGGUGAAGUACUUCAGUAAAAUAUAUACAUAGAGAAAGAAUAAGAUAUUCUAGAAUUUGGUGGAGAAUUAACAAUGUUAGUUCUGAUCUUUGAGUCAACUUCUCGGUGGAAAAUCAGCAACAUUCCACAAUAAUGGCCAGCAAGCACGAUGACCUCCACUAUGAGUAGUUUUUCUAUACCUUUUUCAGACAUUCUCUCGGUUUGAUUAAUAGUCAUCACAAGACAGUCUUAGACAUUGGUAAACUAAGCCAAGGCAAUAGUUGAAGAUUAAAGAAUGUCGAUGAACACCGAUUGAGUUUAGUCUAAGGCCCACUUGUAUAAAUAAAGAUGGUUCAACCCCUUCCAUUAUACAGGGGAAAUUACACGAAACUUCUCUGAAUUUUGGGAUACUAUCAGUUUGCUACUGAUUUUUCAACUGUUAACCUCUAAACUUUUAUUUUGUUCCCGCAGUUCGUUAUAUUUUUAUUAGCAUGUGCAGGGUACGUAAAUUUUAAGGAGUAAAAGCAUAUUUUCAUCUCAUUCUUACCUUAAAAGAAGCCUCUCUUUUACCCUUAAUUGAUGUAAAAAACUGAAAAAUAUAGAAAAUGGAAGAGAAAUAAAACUAACUAAAAUACUAAUAAUAAAAAUAAUAAAUAUCAAUAAUUAUAUUGAACGAUAAGAAUUUUUCAAAAUUAAUUAAGUGUAGCCACCUUUAUAUAACUAAAUAAGAUAUCUAAAAAGUUACAAAUUUAUUAAAAAGGAAAAGGCAUCAAUAACUAAAAGAUCAAAUAACAAAAUCUGGUUAAUCGCUAUGCAUCAAAUAACAAAAUUUGGUUAAUCGCUUUGUAUGUUUAAAGGAUAACAUAAUGUAAAAACGACUGAUUAUAUAUAAUAUAUAUAUAAGGAUAACGAUCAAUCCCUUGCAAAAUGAAUUCCUUUGACCCCUUGAGUUAAAAAAAGCCAUACGAAAUUUACUAAAUCACUUUAGUUUUUAAAUAAGUUUUCAAAUUGAAACCUCUUUGGAUGCAACGGAACACAUAACUUUGCUUCAGUUUUGGCUCAUACACUAGUUUUAAGGUUCAAACCAUGUUGUAUAGUGAGGUAAUGCUUUCCUUAAGAAAGCUAAUCUCGCCGACUGAUCUGAAAUAGUAACUUAUACUAUUUUGCUGAUCUUACGUAUUUGCUUUCACGAGUCUGAGCUUGUAUUAUCGUCGCACCCUUCCCAAAAUGUGUUGGACCACCUAGAGUUCAGCUAAUGAAUUUGUAAGUCUAGACUUAAUUCAGUUUCUCCUAAAUCUAUACUAAUUCUCACAAACCUAUACUAAUUUGUAACUUAGGAUUCAAGUUGUUAACAUUCAAGUUGUCUUAGCAUGAUAUCAGAUUGACAAUUAUGGCAUGUUAUGAAAUUAGGGAAUAAUCCCUAAUUUGAAAGGAUACUCAAGGAAUUUUGGAUAAGAUAACAUCGUUCGGAAAUUCAAUCAAGAAUGCGAUAUUUCAAACGAGGUAACAAAAUAUUCGAGAAUUAAUGUGGGUAAGUUUUUUACCUAAUUUGAUUACUUGUUUCCAAGUUCAGACGAGUGACGGACCUCGAGAAUCACGGACCCACAAACGACGACAGUUCACGGACUGCGGUCGGAAGUUCUAGCGGUGAACGUGCCCGGCGGUGGAUGGUUCACGACGGAGUAGAACUCUCGGUGAUGUCCCAACAAGUUAGACUUCACUUGGACGUGUAUCUCGAGUCAACAUUGGGCAAGCCUUGGGUGAACCUAAAAACAGAACCUGGUGUGGCGAGAGUAAGGAGACGACAAGCCUUGGCGUCGAACGAAACUGAGAUAAACUGGGUUAUCAGCUACCGGUUCCGGCGUCGAGAUGGGCUGAACGUAGCGGCACUUUUCGGGCAGUGGUCGGAUGCAACUGGACUCGCUGGACAGGAAGCAGCGAGCAAGGAGGACUCGGGCAGGACGCGGAUACGAUGGACAGCGAACUGGAAGGCGGCACCGUCGUCGAGCGAAAGCAGCAACAGUUCGCAGGAUGGCUCGUACUUGAAGGAUCGUAGCAAGGACCGUCGUCGUAAGCUCGCGGCUCGUCGUCGGUGUAGCAAGAAGAGGCUUCGGAUCUGCUGGUCGUUGGAGCAGGCAGGGAGCGCCGGGACAGAGAAAGUAGCGUCACGGUGGUCGUGGUGUUUGCUGGUGGUGCCGCUACUGUGAAGGUGUCGCAGUAGAUAUAAUUUAGGAUUUUUAUUCCUGCUUUUACAUCGAAGCUGGGUGAAAGAAGAAGCUUCGAGGAAGCUUCGCGCUAAAAUGUCGUGCGUCCUGUAUUGGAAAUUUGUAUUUUUGUUUAAAUUUUUUUUUAGAAUAUAUUUUAGGAUUUAAAUAAUAGACGGCUCGUUGUCACGGGUGGGUCAAUUGAUUGACCUAAUUUAAAUUCAUGCGCGAACUUCUAUUUUGUUCAAGCAAUUAACUCUUCGUUAUAUUUUUAUUAGCACGUGUAAUGCAUGUGACUUUUAAGGGGUAAAAGUAUAUUUUCAUCUCCUUUUUUUAAAGGAAGCCUCUCUUUUACCCUUAAUUGAUAUAAAAAAACUGAAAAAUAUAGAAAAUGGAAGAGAAAUAAAUUAACUAAAAUACUAAUAAUCAAAAUAAUAUAUAUCUAUAAUCAUAUUGAAUGAAAAGAAUUUUGCAAAAUUCCAAAAAUAUAGCCACCUUAUUAUAACUAAACAAGAUAUUUUAAAAAUUAAAUACAAUUUUUUUUAGAAAGAGAAAAGGCUUCAAUAACUAAAACAUCAAAUAACAAAAUCUGCUUCAUCGCCAUGUAUGUUUAAAGGGUAAAUUACUGUAAAAAUGAUUGAUUAACAAAAAUAUUUAUAAGGAGAGCGAUCAAUCCCUUGCAAAUUCUAUCCCUUCAGGAGGCAUUAUAUAUGUGUGUGUGUGUGUGUGUGUGUGUGUGUGUGUGUGUGUGGGGACAGUUUUAGUGAUGGGCAUCUCAAAUUAAAAAACGCCCUUUGCAUUGAUAGUUAUCCGAAAUUUUCUAAAUCAUUUUGGUUUUUAGAUAAAGUUUACAAAUUGGAACCUUCUCGGAUCCAAUGGCACACAUAACUUGCUUCAAUUUCGGUCCGUACACUAGUUUUUAGGUCCCAACCACAUUGUAUAAUGAGGUAUCGCUUUUUUGAGAAAGCUACUCUCACUAACUCAUCAAAAAUAGUAACUUGGGGAGCGUUUGGUAACGUUUAUGUUCCAAGGAAUAAUUUUUGAAUAGAAAUAGUUUUUUUUUUCCAAGAAACAAUUUCUUAAUAUAAGAACGCGUUUGGUAACUACAAAAAAUUUAUACUUUAGGAAUAGAAAUGCAUUUGGUAACUUGUAUAAUUUUUUUUAUUUCUUUUAAUCUUUCAAUAUUUUUAUUAUAUUUUUCUUUUUUCUUUUUUCUUUCUUCCUUUUGGCUGGUCGCCGGCCUCAACCAUGGCCGACGAGGGCCGGCGACCUUGCCGGCCCCCGUGACCUCGCUUGGCCACUAAGGCCACCGGCAAGGCUUGGCCUUGCCCAUGUGGCGCAAGCUCAGUCUCGCCAAGGGCCGGCGACACCCAUAAGGAAGAAGAAAGAAAGAAAAAAAAAAGUGUUUCUCGGAAUUAUUCUUGGAAACAAGAAACAUGUUUUUUCUACUUCUUAUUUAUGUUCCAAAUCUGUUCCCGAAAAUAAAUAAAUAAAAAUAGAUUUUUUGUUUCCGAAAACAAAAUUGUAAACAAACGCGUUUCUGUUUUUUUUUUGUUCCUCGAAACAAAAGAACAUAAAUUUGUAUUCCGAGGAACAUAAACAAAAAUAAACAAACAGGCACUUGUACUAUUUUGCUGGUCCUGUGUGAUUGCUUUUGUGAAUUUAGGCUCGUAUUAAUCGUUGUCCUUCUUGUACAGUCCUUGGCCUUAUAUUUCUUAUUCGAAUGCUAGACGCAUCAAAGAGCAACCAAAAGCAUCCCAUCCAUGAAUCAAAUAGAUGAACUCAUCUUCUAGUGGAGUUUUUCCCCAAAUUAACAAUAUGAACACCUUGACAUGUUCAUAACUAUUGAGAUCAUGCCUCAAUUUUCAGUUUCCACUUCACGCUCUUAUUGCAAGAUUUCGAACAACCACAUUACUCUACUCGAUUGGAUUUAUAUCAUAACAUUGUGAGUGAGCCAGCUUCAUAUUCAAACUAAGUAGAUCACCGAAUCAAUAUGCAAUUCACCACCUCAAUCAAAGAUUGGACAUGUUAUUAUAAUAAACCACUAGGAUGUCGUGGAAUAAUGCAUACUAUAUGCUAAUCACUAGGAGUGAGAAAACGGAUGAUGAACCCAUUUUAUAGUUCAAAUCAUUGACCUGCUAACAACAUGAGUUGUUAGCUAUCUGUGGAGGUCUAAAACUUUCAAUUUUUUUUUUCCUCCAACCACUCUUAUAGGUGGUGGGUUACAACAAACACCAGCAUCACCUAUGCUCGUAAGAGUGGAAGAAAUUCUCUCGCAAACCAGGACUUAUUUGUAAAACUUCGAAUGAUGGAGAGUGCGUACUUAUUGAGUAAAAGUGCACACCUUUUUCAACAGAAUUGGAAAAAAAAUAUUGCUAGCAAUCAUAAAUGAAAAGUGCCAAAGUAAAAUCUGUUACGGAAACGACAAAAGCACGUCAUUUUACAAAUCCCCAUUGAGAAUCCACAGAAAAAAUUGAAAAUGUGGUCUCGAAUCAUUUAUCAAAUGCUGCUUUCAAAAAAUGAAAAUCAUUUAUAAAAUGGUGACCAGAAGAAUCAUUUAUCAAGCAAACUAUCCAAAUUAUAUACCCCACCGGUUUGUUGACUAGUAGAAUAAAACCAUUUCUUGUGGACCUCGACCCCUCAUUCACGGUGAAAGUGGCCCGAGGGAAUCCGAGGAAAACUUUGUGAAGGGGGUGACAAUGAAGAGGAAAUAAAGCAAAAAGGCCAAAGGUGGGUGGGUCAUCGUAACGUAGAAAAGAAGAACCACCCAUGCCUUUUAGCACGUGCCUUUGUGUUGUCGGCACGAUUUUAGUCAAAAGAUUUCCUCAUGGAAAAAAAUCAUCGCAAUGCUUCACGGUGGCAAGAAAUUAGUCAUUAUUGAUCCUUUGCCCCUUUAUUUUUCCGUUCUACAAGGACUUUCUUUUCAUGGUUAAAUCUAUGAAAGUCCGUCACGUUAAUCCCAUCGCACUGUUCCGAUUACAAUUCAAUCACUCCUUAAAAGUAAAAAUAAAAAAUGAAUCUAGGUUAGAGCUCAAACAUUGGCACAACCCGUUAUUGCUAUCGGACCCGGCCUAGCACAAUCCUUAACUUUGAGGGUUCGCCAAGCUCAAGCACAAAAGAGUAUUUAUGUCACAAUAGAUAUAAUUUAGGAUUUUUAUUUCUGCUUUUGCAUCAAAGUUGGCUGGGAGAUGAAGCUUCGAGGAAGCUUUGCGCCAAAAUGUCUUGCGUCUUGUAUUGGAAAUUUGUCUUUUCAUUUAAACUUUUUUUUUUGUGAAUAUAUUUUGAGGAUUUAAAUGAUACAUGGUCGGUUGUCCUAGGUGGGUCAAUCAAUUGACGACUCAACCUCCUAAUGGGAAAUUGUAAAAAAUUAUCCUGGCAUGGCAGUGUCGAGGAGGGGGACGGUCCCUUUCGUCCCCCUAAAACUGGCCGUGUUCGUAGAGGCCGACCUGAGGUUUUUCCACACAACAUGAUGUAAUUGAUAGGAGUGUGCAGCAAGGACCUUAGACAAAACGCCACUUGAUUCCAUGGGAUGUCCCUGGCGAAUUGGUGAGUGAUCCCAUUUCUAAAGCAGAGAUGACACCCUUUUUAGGCCCAUGACGGAUUCUAGGAGUUCAGAAUCGGCGAUCAGACUAGCCUAUUAUAGAAUAGACCGGUAUCUAUUGACCGACAUUUUUCUUUUUUCUCGAAACUUCUAACUUGAAAUUUUUAUCAAACCUAAUAUUCUAAAUAAUAAUGCAGCAUUAAAUAAUGAAAUAUCGGAUUUCCAUUAAUAUUGAUGAAUUUUGCAAAGUCAAGUCAAUUUUUGCUCCAAAGAGUUUGAAUCUUAAGCCCUGUUGAUCCAAAAUAGUCGAUUCCAUCACAGGACCGGUUUGAUGACAUUAUAAAACCAUUUCUUGGGGGACCUCGACCCGCCGUUGACGGCGGAACUAGUCCGAGAGAAUCCGAGGAAAAUUUUGUGAAUAAGCAAAAGUGAUAAUGAAAAGGAGAUAAUGCCAAAAAGCAAAGAAAAAGAAGGAGGAUGGGGUCAUCCUAACAUGGAAAAGUAGUCCCCUCAAUGCUUUUUAGCGUGCUUUUUAUGUUGUCAGCAAUGCUAGUCAAAAAGAUCCUCUCAAGUGAAAAAUCACGACAAUGUUUUGUGGUGGGUACAAAUUUUGUCAUCAUUGCUCCUUUGCCCUGUCUUUUCCCGUACCACAAAGAGUUUCUUUUCAAAAUUAAAUUUAUGAAAAAUUCGUCACGUAGAUCCUAUCAAGCAAAUCAUUUAUUAAAUGGUGGCCAGAAGAAUCAUUAUAAAGCAAACUGUUAAGAUAAUUGACCCACCGGUUUGAUGACUAGUAGCAAAAAACCAUUUCUUGUGGAACUCGACCCGUCAUUCACGGCAAAGUGGCCCGAGGGAAUCCGACAAAUACUCUGAAGAAGCAAAGUGAUAAUGAAAAGGAAAUAAAAGCCAAAAAAGCAAAAGAUAAAAAAAAAGGUGGGUCCUCUUAUUGUGGAAAAAAGACCCGCCAAUGCUUUUCAACGUGCUUUUCUGCUGUCGCCAAGAUUUUAGUCAAAAGAUUUCCUCAAGCAAAAAAUCAUGACAAGAAGUUAUUCAUUAUUGCUCCUGUGCCCCUCUUUUUCUGUGCCUCGUUAAUCCUAUCGCUCUUGUUCCAAUUACAAUUCAAUCACUCCUCAAAAGUUAAAAAAAUUAAUACCACAAAAAGACUUUAAAUUGAUACAUAUAUAACAAAUAUUAUUAUAAAUUAACUUUUUUAUUAUGAAAAAUCCGAAACUAAUAAAUUUAUGACAAAUUUAUUCUAAACUAAUUUUUGACAACAAAAACCUCAAACUAAUAUACAAAAAAAAAUUAAUUUAUUAACCACUAAAAAUCUUAAAAUGAUAUACUUGUUUGGAAAUUUUGCUGUCAAAUUGUUUAGUUAGAUGAUACGUGACAAUUUUGAGUUUUAUCCUCAAAUUAUCAUAGGUGUAUUGAUUUUGUGAUUUUUCAUGGUAUUAAUCAAAUUUAAUGAAAUGUAUAUUUGUCACAAAUGUAUAAAUUUGGGAUUUUUUGUGGUCAAAAAAUUAAUUUGAAGUAAAUUUAUCACAAGUGUACCGAUUUGAGGUUUUUUAUGAUUAAAAAAUUAAUAUGAGAUAAAUUUGUUAUAUAUAUACCAAUUUGAGAAUUUUUCAUGACAUUAACCCAAAUACAAAUAAUGAAUGAACCUAAGUUAUAACUCGAACAUUGGCACAACUCGUUAUUGCUAGCUAGCUUGGCUUGGCACGACACCUAACUAUGAGGGGUUGUGCCAAGCUCGAGCCCAAGAGGGAGUUGGUGUCACAUUAGAUAUAAUUUUGGAUUUUAAAUAACGCAAGAAAAAGUUUAAGGUAUUGAUGUCACAAUGGUCCUAAUUGAAAGUUUUUAAUGGUAUAAACCCAAGUCAAAAUAGAUUCCACAGCUUCAAGUUCCUACAUUUCGAUAUGUAUAUAUUCUUGUUGACAAAGUGCUUAAAAUAUUUAAGAACUAAUCAAACUUUUAGGUGUCAAGUAUUAACCAUCCUUAUAGCGGACUUAAAUCGGUGUGGAGUGCACCUCCAUAGUUGUGCCAACCAUUGAUUGGAAUGUGUCUAGUUGUUCUCCUCUUACUCAAGUUUUGUGGUGAUGGUCCAUUUGCACUUUAAGUCAUGGCUAGUAUGAAUGACGAUCAAAUAGUACGUAGAAUCAUAUUCCUGGAGAUAUAGAAUCUUCUCCACUAACCAAUAUUUUAAGACGACGUUUGGCUUGCCUAAAAAUAUUAUUCUUAUUAUUUUAUCAAUGAUCACCUAUGCCACAAAAUUAUGUCACUAAUGCGUGUCAAGGAUCAUAUAUAUAUAUAUAUAUAUAUAUAUAUAUAUUCUUCUUUGUUUUAUGCAAAGAAGUUCUUUGCUUUAGUUCUUCCCUUAGUUUCCCCUUCAAAUCCCAGAAGGAAAUCAAAGUGUCUUCUCUCUUUUGCUCCUACUUUAUUCUUGAAAACAUCAAACAGCAAUGAAACUAUUAUGUACUGCCGUUUUGUAGAUAUGGUAAGAUUUUCUUUUGUUAUGGUAAAAGACAUGGUAAGUUAUGCCCAUAAAUGCUGCCAAAAUGUAUCUUCUUGCAAGUCUUCAUCUAAAUCAGAAAUAGUAGUUUCAUUGGUCUUAGUUUGAGGGGUUUGCAUCUAAAGUCUUUGGAUAUGAAUUGAUCUACUGUGCUCACUCAUCAAAUCUAGAUAUGGACAUCAUCCUGUGAUAUCUAAAUUAACUUGAUAAAGUUGAAAGUUGAAGACACUUUGCGAAAAAAUUAAGAUUUCAUGGUAUUUUAAUACAAAAAUGAAAGAUUAUAUUCCACGCGAUAAAGUUGAAAGUUCAUGACAUUUUUAAUAUUGAUAAUAAGUGGAAAGUUGAAGAUUCUCUAGAAAUUACGCUAAAGAGAAUUGGAAGAUUUAUUUUUCCAAAAUAUUAUUUUUUUAAAAGAAAAUGAGAAUUGUCUAGAUCUCCAUGCUUGUAUUAUAUAUAUGUUCACAAAUCUAUCUAUGCAUUGGCUAAAUGUUAAAUUAUGAUUUGGUCAUAUUACUUAAUAUUGAUUUUAGUAUACUUACUAACGUUACUCAUAAAUAAACCAGAACUUUUUUUUGUCAAACUUCAAAUGAUAAAGAGUGCAUUCUUGCUGCGUAGAAUUUUACAUCUUUUUUUUUAAACUGAAUUGAAAAAGAAAAAUCCACAUAUUGCUAGCAAUUUUAAUAUAAAAAACGCCAUUAAUUAGAAUACUUUACAUGAAUCAGCGAAAGCACAUCAUCUCACAAAUUCCCAUUGAGGAUCCAUGGAAAAUAUUGAAAUUGUGGUCUUGAAUCAUUUAUCAAACGCUGCUGGCCAAUAAAGAAAAUGGUUAAUAGCACGAAAAACUCCACACUGAUAUAUGUGUGAUAAAUUUACUCAAAAUUAAUUUUUUUAACCACAAAAAAAUCCUAAACUAGUACAUUAGUGAUAAACUUAUUAUCUGUUAAGUUUUACCAUCAAAUUACUAAGUUUGAUGACAUGUGGUAAUUAACGAAUGUACCAGUUUGGGUGUGUGUUGGUUUAUGACUUUUUGUAAUAUUAAUCCGAUUUAAUGGAAAUUAAUAGAGAGUAAAUUUAUCAUAAAAUAUUAAUUUGGGUUUUUUUGUCAAUAAAUUAAUUUGUGGUAAAUUUAUUACAGAUAUAUCAUUUUAUGAUUUUUUAUGAUAAAAAAUUAGUAUGAAAUAAAUUUUCAUAAAUAUAUCGAUUUGACGUUUUCUGUGAAAUAUACUCUAAAGAAAAUCAUUUGUCAAAUUGUGGCCAGAAGAACUUAUCAAGCAAAAUAUCAAAAUAAUUAACCACAUCGAGCGUCUUGGACUGCGUUGAAAAAAAAAAAAAAGAGAGGAGAGGAUUUUCCUGCCUUCGCAUCGAAGCUGAGUGGGAGACGAAGCUUCGCGCCAAAAUGUCGUGCGUCCCUCCACGUUAGAUUUCCUCGCUUUUUUAAUCGGGGGUAUCCCGCUGUAAAAUUUGUCUUUUCGUUUAAUUUUUUUUUGUAAGUAUAUUUUAGGAUUUAAAUAAUACAAGGUUCGUUGUCAUCGGUGGGUCAAUUGAUUGACCUAAAGUAUCCAUGCGCGAAGAAUUGACGUCUCAACCACCUAAUGGGAAAGUGGCCGUGUUUAUAGAGGCCGACUCGAGAUUUUUCCACCCGAGACAUGUUGACGCGACAUAAGGUAAUUGAUAAGAGCAUAUAGUGAAAACCUUAGAUAAAGGCCACUUAAUUCUAGAGGCGUGCCUCGCGAAUCGAUGAGCCUGGAUUUUAAAGCUGAGAUGAGACCCUUUUUGGGCCCGUUACGAAUUUUAAGAGUUUGAAUUUAGUGAUCAGACUAGUCUCUCGUAGAACACACCGGUACCUAAAUAUUGAUAUUUCUUUUUUUCUUGCAACUUCUAACUUGAAAUUUCUAUCGAACCUAAUAUUCUAAAUAAUAACACUGCAUUAAAUAAUGAAAUAUCGGAUUUCCAUUAAUAUUGAUAAAUUUUACAAAGUCAAAUCAAUUUUUGCUCCAAAAAGUUUGUAUCUUAGGUCCUAUUGAUCCAAAAUAGUCGAUUCUACCACAGGACCGGUUUGAUGACAGCAUAAAACCAUUUCUCGGGGACCUCGACUUGUCGUCGUUCACGGCGAAACUGGCACGAGAGAAUCCGAGGAAAAUUCUGCGAAAAAGCAAAAGUGACGAUGAAAAGGAAAUAAAGCAAAAAAGCAAAGAAAAAGAUGGUGGGUGGGCACCCUAAUGUGGAAAAGAAGUCCCGCCAAUACUUUUUAGCGCGCGUUUGUCGGCAAAGUUUUAGUCAAAAGAUUCCCUUAGGGAACCUCAAGGAAAAAACCAUGGCAAUACUUUGUUGGGCUACAAAUUUUUUCAUCAUUGCUCCUUUGCCCUGUCUUUUCCCGUACUGCAAAGAGUUUCUUUUCAAAGUUAAAUUUUAUGAAAGUUCGUCACUUAGAUCCUAUCACUCUUGUUCCGAUUACAAUUCAUCAAGCUAGAGCCCAAAUAUUGGCACAGCCCGUUAUUGCCCGGGCCUGGGACGACCCCUUGUGCCGAGCUAAAGCCCAAGACUAAGAGGGCCGGCUCGUGUGGACCGGCACCACUCAAUCACCAUGUUUAGAUAGGGGUUUAUUAAUAUACAUGUCAGGAAAAGCAAAAUGCUGAAAUUCAAGCAUUUUGCAAAUUUUGGCCUUUCGAAACUAAAGAGUUUGAAAAAUAAUGCAUGAGGAUAAUGAAUCAAGUUCAGAUUUUGUGGGAGUAGGGGAAUUUUCGAUGUGCAAUUGCCGGUGUAGUACAGAGACUAAAGUUAUGGUCUUGGUAAUGAAUAAAGAAUACAUGAUGCGAAGUACUUCAUUAGAAAAUAAACAAAGAGAAAAAAUAUAUUCUAGAAUUUGAUGGAGAAUUAAGAACGUUAGCUCUGAUCUUGAAGUCAAAUUGUCCGUGGAAAAUCAGCAACAUUAUACAAUCAUGGCCAGCAAGCAUGAUGACCUCCGCAUGAGUAAUUUCCCAUUUCUUUUUCCCCUUUUUAAACUUUUCCUUUUAGGUUCUCUCAGUUUGAUUAUCAAAGCCACCACAUGACAGUCUCAAAUAUUGAUAAAACUAAGGCAAGGCAUCAAUAGUGCUCGACAUUGUCGAAGACUAAGGAAUGCCGACGAACACCGAUUGAGUUUAGUCGAAGGCUCACUUGUGUAAAUAAAGAUGGUUCGACCCCUUCCACUAUACAUGGGUAAAUUAUGCACAACUUCUUUGAAUUUUGGGUAACACAAGUUUGCCUCCAAUUUUUCAAUUGUUAUACAAUAACCUCUAAAGUUUUAUUUGGUUCAAGCCACUAACUCUUCAUCAUAUUCUUAUUAGCAUGCACAAUGCUUGUGAAUUUUAAAGGGGCAAAAGUAUAAUUUUAUCUCAUUCUCUUUUAAGGAAGCCUCUUUUUUUACCCUUAAUUGAUGUAAAAGACUGAAAUACCAAUAAUCAAAAUAAUAAUUAUCAAUAAUCAUAUUGAAUGAUGAGAAUUUUUCAAAAUUAAAUAAAUAUAGCCAUCUUAAUAUAACUAAAUAAGACAUUUUAAAAAAUAAAUACAAAUUUAUUAGAAAGGGUAAAAGGCAUCAAUAACCAAAAGAUCAAAUAACAAAAAUUGCUUAAUCACUAUGUAUGUUUAAGGGUAAAUUACCAUAAAAAUGAUUGAUUAACGAAAAUAUUUACGAGGAGAACAAUCAAUCCCUUGCAAAAUCUAUCCCUUUAAGAGGCAAUCCUCCAAGAAGAGCUUCUAGCAUAUUGAAUAAAAACGCCCUUUGCAUUGAUAAUUGUUUAAAAUUUUCUAGAUCAUUUUGGUUUUUAGAUAAGUUUUCAAAUUGGAACCUCCUCAGAUGCAGCAGCACACAAAACUCGCUUCAGUUUUGGCUCAAACACUAGUUUUUAGGUCCGCACCAUAUUGUGUAAGGAGGCAUAGCUUUCUUUGAGAAAGCUACUCCCACUGAAUUAUCUUAAAUAGUAACUUGUGCCAUUUUGCUGGUCCCAUGUUCUUGCGUUUUUGAGUUUGGGCUUGUAUUAUAUCUUUCCUUCUUAGACAGUCCUUUGCCUUAUAUUUCUUAUUCAAUUGUUAUACACAUCAAAGAGCAACCAAAAGCAUCCGAUCCAUUAAUUAAACGUAUGAACUCAUAUUCUAGUGGAGUUAUUAAUCAAAUUUACGAUAUCAAUGCUUUGACGCGUCCGUACCUAUUGGGAUCAUGCCUCAAUUUUCAGUUUACGCUUCACACUCUUAUGGUAGGAUUUCGGACAACCACCUUACACUACUCGAUUUGAUUAAUAUCAAAGCACUCUAAGUGAGUCAGCUUCAUUACUAAACUAAGUAGAUCACCGAAUCAAUAAGCAAUUCACCACCUCAAUCAAAGAUUAAACAUGCUAUUAUAAUGAACCACGCGGAUGUCAUGGAAUAUCGAGUGUAGAAAUAUGAGAAGCCAAACUUGUAUUCUAACUAAACAUCUCAACUUUUCCAUCAAAGUCACCAAGGAACCACAUAAUGUAAGAUCCAUUAUUAGUGUGAGCCCAUUACAAUUUGUGGCCCGACAAAAAUUGAUGGACACCCGGCUUCACAGCCUUGAGUAAGGACAUUCAUGAAAAUCACAAUUUAGUCCUAGCCGCAUGGAAAACUGGUGAUGUUUUCCCGCAGUGGAUCCAAACCUGUAGAACAGCAAACAUCUUUCAGCAAAAAACUCUCACCGGCGAAUGUUCUCUCACGAAUUUUUGUUGGCAAGGCAAGACUGUCACGUCAUUUCUCGAUCAAAUAGAAACUGCAUAUCGCCAUUUCCGCCGCCUUCAAAUUAUACACUCUGCAAUGCACGCAUAAAAACCGUUCAAUCUCAGAGCUUUACCUCAAAGCAGAAAGGAGAGUCAUGACGCGUCGCUCCUUCCAUGCAAUGGUUGUUUUUCAGCAAGAUUGAAUAGCAGCAACCCGUACAGCAUGACAAUAAGCGAAGGAGAUUAACUUCAGUUCUUUCCAUCGCUAUUUAUGCUGGCCUAAGCUCGGGAUAACUGAAGCUUACCGCAUUCUCUCGCCCCACAAUUCUGAGAAAGAAAAUACAGUUAGACAUGUAUCAAACGUGCAACAUCAUCAACGACAAAGAAAUGAUGAGAGCGACAUCCCGAAGCGGGGAACUCUGUAUAAAUUAAAAUUAAAAUACCUAAAAGGAAACCAAUAAUCUUCUCCGAGGGUGAUGAUUGACAGAAAAUGAGAUGCAUCUAGGAAUUUUAUCUAACAUCCUCGAACUAUUAGUUCAGGUCAUAAACUCAUACCAUAUCUAAUCAUCUAGCUAUUAUAUGUGAAAAAAUUUGGAGUGAUCUUUAAGCAUGACGUUUUCAUAAUCGCUUCGACACUAUUGCGUAUCACUGCUAAUGGUGGCCAUACCUGCAAAUGCCACAUCCAUUGCAGCUAUUCUGCUUCCUGGAUGUCCGAAGAAAAAAUCAAGUAAGAUGUCAGGUCCUCUUGAUCAUAUCGUCUUCAAGUGCAGGAUACAACACCCAACACUUUUGAGAAUCUGUAAAAUGCAAUUAACGAACUUUUCUUCUUUCACAUGGUUGCACGUUAUGCAGCAUUUCUACGGUCAAGGUUUUGAAAUAUUUGCUAGGGGAAGAGGGCAGACAGAGACUACUUCCCACAUAUAGAGACACUCGACCAAUGUCACUGUCCGAGACACAUGAAAGAAAUUGAGCAGCGAGAUAAGAAAGAUUUGAUGCAAAUCAUCAUCGAAGAACUUACAAGUCCAACAAAAGUACUUCCCCAUGCAAACACCACCUGUGAACAUGGAAACCAAAGGUUGAGAAUCAACAUCUGCACUGUAGUUUAUUUUUGGCCAAUCUUUUUAAACAACUUCACAUUUUUUGCCCUCCUUCGAAAAGCUCUUUAGUGCAAUCAAAGCGGGUAAUGAAGGAUAGAAUGUUUAAAAUUACCUCUUGAGCACUAUCACAGAUUGAACUUACAACCUGAAACAAAACAUGUAGGUAAGUGGGAACAUCAAGUAAUUAGUCGGUCUAUAAACAUGCUAGAAAUUUGAUAGCAUCCAUCCGCUGAACUUGAUAGCAAGGCGAGUCAAUGCCCUGCUUUUGUUUGCAUUGAUACGUUAUUCUGGUCAUAAGAGAACGGUGUUUCUUCUUAGGAAAAGCAUGUCCACAGGUUGAAGAUUGAAGAAUCGAAUAUUUGACAUAUUCACCAAACUGUGGACUACUCAUCCGAACUCAAAGGACAUGGCGACUUCCGCACAUAUCCAUCAUGCAGUAAUGGCGGACUGCACAUACCAAAAUAUUAGAGCACACAUUACAAAAUUAACAACAUGUCAGAACGCAAUCUCAUCUUAAGAUAACUCAUGCCACUAGCACCCAAAAUUUAGAGGCAGCUGCAGCGGUGCCUAUACUUUGGUUAACGAUAAUCCUCUAAAAUAUGGCAAAUAAAAACUUAAUUGCAAUCUAUGGACUGAGCUUGCACGAAAGUAUCUCAGAUAUCUAGUUAGUUCUUCAUGUCAUAACAAAAGGAAGUUCUCAAGCACACUUAAGUCUAUGAGGGGCACAAGGGAUCACCUUUGCAUCAUCAUGUCAGUGAAGGCAAUAAAAAAUGUCGUCGCAACAGGGGGCUCUAAUGCGGCCCCUCAACAGUAAUGAGGACAUCUGCCGCAGCAGCAGCAGCGUCUUUGAUAUUAACUGAAAGUUGAGAAGGACAAAGCUUGAACUACUAUUGCUCAAGAAUGAGUCGAGACGUUACUUGUACGGCAAGUACCGCUCGCUAACAAAUCAGUAGCAAUAGCAUCUUCACGGUCAGAACAGAGCACGGUCGGAAACACGAUUGGACAGUGCUGGAAUUGUAACAACAGGAGGGAACCAAGUGGCGGCCGAUGAGGAGGAACAGCGAUGUUAAUUAUGAGCCAGAAGUGGUGGUGAUCGCCUGAUCGGAAAUGGAGCGGCCGUGGAACUAGAGGGAAAGCGGGACUGGGAGAACGUUUCUCUGUUUUCAGUUCCCCCUCUUGCGCGCGCACGUGCCUUCGUUCGGGGGAAGAGAGAGAGAGAGAGAGAGAGAGAGAGAGAUAAAAGUAAGGAAGGAAAGAGGGCGGGCCUUCUCUCGGCAUGGGCGUUGGACCUCGGAUGGGCUCCAUUUUUCAGCUCCUUUCUGUUGCUGAGUCUUAUUCGAUGGGCUAUUGGACAAAUCUAAAGAGAUCUGGGCUCAAGUCCGAUAUUGUCCGGCGGGGAGCUCGAGUUGUGGAUCUGGGCUGAGGUCUUAUUAGUCCUCUCCUUUAAAAAAAAAAAGUUGUUAACUUUAUUUAUCUUUACAAAACUGCAGAUUCAAUUUGCUAGCAAAAAUUUGGGAGUCAACAUCCACGUUGCCAACUCUGUUGAUUGUAUAUAUACGCUCAUCCUGUUUCCAAUGACCAUAAUUGGUUCUGUCAAAGUAUGGAGAUCUGGUGGUAGAUUGACCCUCAUAAAAAAAAAUUGGACUAAGGUUGGUAGACAUAGAAUAGGAUCUUUAUAAUCAGAAGUAAACAAUACUUAAAAGUACAAGAAACGCAAUAUUUAGGCUAUGUUCAUUUCAUGGAAAAUAACUUCUAAAAAAAUGUUUUUAUUUUUUUAUUUUUUUUGUGUUCAUUUCACGAAAAAUGAUCUAAUCAAGAAAAACGUUUUCUACUAUGGGUAAAAAGCACAUUAAAAAAUGAGAAACAUUUUCCACUUUUGAAAAGUAGAAAAUAUUUUCCAUAACUUCUUCCAUCUCACUUUCUUUCACCAAACACAUUUUCAUUCCAUUUUUAUGUUUUCUUUUUAUUUUUUCCUUUUUACAUCGAUUUUUUAAUUUCUAUUUUCAUUUUUUCUUUUCUCUCUUUCCUUCUCUUCUUCUUCUUUGACCUUCGCAGGUUGAUGAAGAAGAAGAGAAAGAAAGAAAGAAACGGCAAAAAGAAAAAGAAAAAAAAUUAAACAUUAAAAAAUAGAUUUAAAAAAUGAAAUAAUGAAAAAAUUAUUGAAAAUGAGCACAUGCAGGAAAAGAUUUUUCUUACCGAAUGGUGAAAAAUAUUUUCUAGUUUAUUUUCAAAUUUCAGCCAAAUACAGGAAAAUAUGAUUAUUUUCCUAAAAAAUGACUUGCUAGAAAAUAAUUUUCAAAAACACCACAUUUUUCGAGGAAAAAAAAAACAAAGCCUCAAUACCAAUUAUUGAGGUCAACAAUGCAACCUAACGAAGGGGUGAAUGGGUUGAUUUACAAAAGUAAAAAAUAAUUUAUAAUAGCUCAGGUUAAGAAACGCAAAUUAAAUAAAACAAAAAGGAAAAGGCCUCGAUAACAAAAACUUCAAAUGAUAAUAUUUGAUCAUGCGUUAUGUAUAUAUAAAGGUUUAAUUAAUGUAAAAUGAUUGAUCUACAAAAAAUCUAGAAAGAACUUAUCAAUGAAAAUGAUGUCCUUAACUCAUAAAAGACGAAGAUGAAUCAAAAUCUAAGGUGAUUUUGUUAAAAAAUAUUUUUAUUGAUCAAUUUUAUCUUACAUUAAUUAACCAUUUAACAACACAAAAUGAGCAUCAAAUUUUUUUAUUUGAUUUUUAGUUGUUUGAGGCAAUUUUCCUUUCUACUUAAUUGCGUUUCUUUUUGUUCAAAAACCUACUAGUUCUAUUAAUAUAUCCAUGAAUUUUCUACCAACUUUUAUUAUCUAUAUUAUUAUUGAUAGUCAAAUUUUAUUGUAUUGAUAAUUUAGUUAACUUUUUUCUCAAUUUUCUGUAUUGUUUUUAUUUUUCUUAUAGAAAUCAACAGUAAAAGGCAUUCUUUUGAGAAAAAAUGAGAUGAAGAACAAGUUUACCCCUUUAACGUCAUCUACAUUGCACAUGUGAAUGGAGAAUAUAGUGAAAUGUUAACGGCUAUCACCAAAUAAAAGUUGAAGAAGUAACGUGUAACAGUCAAAAUUUUAUGUCAAACAUGUAUUUUCCUGAAGUUUGGAGCAAUUUUUGUAAAUUUUCCACAAAUUUAUUAUGCAAUGCCUAUUUUCUAAUAUAUUCAUAGGGAGAUUAGUGUGUAUUUAUGUAUGUUGGGUGUGGAAAUAUGAGAAGCCAAACUUAUUUUGUACAUAUUUUAGGUAUUUUAGGUAUAUUGGUAUAGUUUACUGUUUGAUAAAAUUUUAUUAAAGAAUGAUGGAAAGAAAAUAAAAAAAAAAAUUAAUUAAAAAAGAGAGGAAAAAUAAAAUAAAAAAUAAAUCAAAAUAAAGUACAUUGUCGCAAGAGAUUUUUACCAUCUUCAUUUAUAAACUUUUAGGUUCAUUUAUAUUGAGACGUCGUUUAUAUCAACCAAUAUAUAUAAUAUGAUAUGAAUAUAUCAAAUUUUAUACUUACGAUCACCAAAUGGUGGAUAAGAAAUGAUAAAAUCCCACGAUUUCAUAACCUAUCAUAUUUAAUCCUAGCCUAAUUAGAAAUACAGGUGACUAAACAUAACUAAAGAGGAUAGGGAGUUGGCAAGCCAAUUCGAGUUCAAUGAGCUGUGUUGAUGGGCCUUCGAAACCUAGUUCGCAGGUUGAUUAGCUUCCCUGGGUCAAAAGGCUGGAGACAUUCGUUGCAUUUGGGCCAUAAGAUGCUGACAAUUCUCAACAACAGACUGGACUACCCAUGGGCUUUCGGUUUGCCCCGAGAUAAGCUAUCACUUUCCAUCCUCACCUGAAGAUCUCCACUUUUCCUCCACAGAUCAGUUCCACCCUAUCUUCAACGAGAGCGCCAAGGCUUCUCUCACUGCUAGGAUUUCAGGCACGAGGGCAGUCGGAGCAUGGAUUUUCUUGGCGAAGCCGGCCACGAGAGCCCAUGAGCAUCUCUACACACCCCAACUACUGAACCCACUCAAGAGCGAGUGUUGUGCACUGAGGCAGCAAAGAACUCUCAUUAACCUCAUGCUUAAUGGCUUUGACCAAUCACCUUAUGCUAAGUGUUUAUGAGCAUUUCUUAUCUUUUCACAAAUACUAACACUCCCAUUAUUCGCAUGGAUAAUUGCUUUGACACUAUUGAGUCUUACUUCCAACGGUGGCUACACUAGCAAAUGCCACAUCCAUUGCAAUGAUACUGGUUGUAACAUAUUAUCGCAUAAGCUAUCAAGAAAUUAACGCGACAUUAUUAGAGAAAUAAAUGAGAAACAAUAAAGGACGCCAAAGAUUUACGUGGUUCAGUACCGAAUGUCGGUACCUACAUCCACGGAGAGAGCCGGCAACAGAUAAUUCAUUAAUAAUCGGAAAAUCUAAGUUUGCAGUCGCUCACAUGCUCGAAUGUUUCUCACGCUCAGGUCGGACUCAAAUUUAAAGUGUUUGCAAAAAUACUCACAACACCAAUCCACGGUGUGUAUAUCCCCCCGUUCACGGCCAAGCAACAAGCGCCCCAGUCUCUGAUUCUUCCUUUCGUUCUUCAUGCGGCGCUCCCCAGGAAAUCCCGGUGCGGCCAUUGUACUCUCUUCUUGUGCGACUACACUUUGCUGAAGGAACCCACUCCACGCUUCUCAAAGAAAGAAGCCACUGGCGGCCGUUCACACAACGAGGAACCCCUUUUGUCUUGCAGUGGCAGGGGACUUCUUUCCUCUCAUUCGUCCAACCUUCGGCAAAGGUGAGUCCAACUCUUCAAUUUUAUUGUGCUGUCAAACUUGGAUAUUUAUUCAAUCUGGUUGGAUUCCAUAAACGGCUCAUACUCGAGACAUAAUUUAAUGAUACCACUUGAAUGUCUGCAGAAAAAAAGAAAAAAAAGAGAGUAAGAUGUGAGGUCCAUGUAAUCAUAGUGUCCUGCUGCAGGAUAUGACACCUAACACUUAUGACAAUCUGUAUAAUGCAAAUAAAAAAAAUUCAUUUCUAACAUGAUUGCCCAUUGUUAAGCAUUUUUAUGCUUUUUGCUUACAUUGAUACUAUCCAGGGCAUAGGAGAAC